rnacentral:rRNA from 1 species
GGCUACCGCUAUUGGAGUUCGAUUAAGCCAUGCGAGUCGCGAGUCUUAGGGACUCGGCGUACCGCUCAGUAACACGUGGGUAACCUGCCCUAUGCUGGGGGAUAACCUCGGGAAACUGAGAAUAAUACCCCAUAGUUCACCACGCCUGGAACGGUGGGUGGACCAAAGCUCCGGCGGCAUAGGAUGGGCCUGCGGCGUAUCAGGUUGUAGGGGGUGUAAUGUACCCUCUAGCCCUCUACGCGUACGGGUGUUGAGAGACAUCGCCCGGAGAUGGAUUCUGAGACACGAAUCCAGACCCCACGGGGUGCAGCAGGCGCGAAAACUUGGCAAUGCGAGAAAUCGUGACCAGGGAACUCCAAGUGCAUCGGGUAAGACCGAUGCUUUUCUUGACUCUUCAAAGGUCUUGGAAUAAGGGGUGGGUAAGGACGGUGCCAGCCGCCGCGGUAAUACCGGCGCCCCAAGUGGUAGUCGCUUUUAUUGGGCCUAAAACGUCCGUAGCCGGUCUGGUACAUUCGUGGGUAAAUCAACCAGCUCAACUGGUUGAAUUCUGCAAGCACGGCCAGACUUGGGACCGGGAGAGGUGUGGGGUACUCUCAGGGUAGGGGUAAAAUCCUGUCAUCCUGAGAGGACCACCUGUUGCGAAGGCGCCACACUAGAACGGAUCCGACGGUCAGGGACGAAGCCUAGGGGCACGAACCGGAUUAGAUACCCGGGUAGUCCUAGGUGUAAACGCUGUGGACUUGAUGUUGGGGGCGCUCCGAGCGCACUCAGUGUCGAAGCGAAGGUGAUAAGUCCACUGCCUGGGGAGUACGGUCGCAAGGCUGAAACUUAAAGGAAUUGGCGGGGGAGCACCGCAACCUGAGGAUUGUGCGGUUU